rnacentral:tRNA from 1 species
CAAAGAAUAGUUUAAUUUUAGAAUUCUAGCUUUGGGAGCUAGUGGUGGGAGUUAGAAUCUCCCUUCUUUGA